GUUGCAUAGCACCUCCUGCACACUUUAAACGGGUUGUGUGUACAUGUAUAUUAGCGUAUGAUUGAUGGAGAUUCUGCUAACAGAAAAUAUGUGUGUGUGUGUGAGAGCAUGUGUUGUGUGUGUGUAAGGUACAGGUGCAGGAUUGACUGGAAAAGUGGAAAUGGAGGGCGGAUAAUACCAGGAUUUAGAAGUAAGCUAGGUUCAUGUGUAUGUAAGUGUGUGUAUGUGUGUGUGCGUGUGUGUGUGUGUGUGUGUGUGUGUGUGUGGCAGGGAUUACCCAUCGCAGUAUCAAGCCUUCAAACCUACCACCUGACCAGCUUGAAAUAAGCCUCCAUCAUGUUCUGGUCUAGGCCACACACAGCUAUUGAGGUAAGGAGCCAAUUUUUAGCCACUUAGCCACUCAAGUCCUAUCAGUAGAACUAAGAAAGGUAAUAUAAUAUCUUAUAUUCUUUGGCUUCACACCCCUAGGUGAUGGACCGGUGUCCCAUUUAGUGUGAAUUCUCUCACACUGUUUCCAUACUAGGCUCUUUCAUCCACUGUGAACCUGACCAGGAUAAAGUGGUUAUGAAUCAAUGAAUAAAUAUCUUUAGUGCUGACAUUAGUAUGUGAUAAUGGAUGGAAAUAAUUUUGGCAUUACCAGUACUAAUGCAACACAGUAGACAAGUUGUUUCAAGAAUAGAGUAAAGAGAUCGAUUUUAAUGUGGAUUAAUCCGCGUGACACAAUAGGCAAUAGGGUUCCUGGUUUAAGCCAGAGCUUGGGUUACAGUCUGUUUGGAGUUCCUGUGCAUGUUCCUCCUGUCUGUAAUGGUUUUUAACUGGGUUCUUCUAUUUCCUCCCACUUCCCAAAGGCUACUUUAAAUUACUGUGACUCAUGGCAUGGCAUCAAAUCCCAUUCAGAAUGUAUUCCAACUUCUUGUGCAGUAUACUUGGGAUCAUCUCAGGAUCCUCUGCAAUCCUGACCAGGACACUGAAGAUCAAUAAAUUUCGAUUCAUAAGAAAUGUGAACUAGCUUGGUCUGUACAGAUGUCACAUUUGGAGCACCAGCACUCCUUUGGCAUAAAGCUUACGCCAGAACCCGGGUUAAACGUUUAAGCGCAAAUCACUCAUGCUCAUGACGCAUGACAAGAACAAAUAUGGCUAAGAGUUUGGCUCACUGAGAGAUGGCUCUCUGCUGACACAGAGGACUAAUUACUUCAGAAAAGAGGAGGAUGAAAGUGGUUUGGCUACACAAGAUCAAACUCCCAAAAGGUUUAUCAAGUCAACGAUAAACAACAAACCAUAUUUAAAUCUUUGGUGAAUUGCAGAAUGUAUGACAGAAGUGACUCUUUACUCCUGAAGCAGCUACAGUAGAAAUACAGUAUGUUUUGAGGUAAAUCUUCUCAAAAGAUUUUUAAAAUAUUAAUAUAAACUAAACCCAAAAUAUUUUAUUUGAAGGUCACUUGGGUAAAAGCACUUAGGUAAAAAGACCUGCAACUUUAUCUUUUAUGAUUUUGUUCUGAAGACAAAAACUACUGUUUGGAUCGAUGCAAUAAACCCUUUGGGGGUAUUUAGGGAUGAAUAAGAUGAUCGAUCUAUCGAUCUAUCUAUCUAUCUAUCUAUCUAUCUAUCUAUCGAUCUAUCUAUCUAUCUAUCUAUCUAUCUAUCUAUCUAUCUAUCUAUCUAUCUAUCUAUCUGGUCAGACACACAAGUGUAAGCUUUUUUUACUCAAAUAUAGACAAACCCACAAUUGACCAUA